rnacentral:rRNA from 1 species
AACGAACGCUGGCGGCGCGCCUAAUACAUGCAAGUCGAGCGAGAAGACGUAGCAAUACGUUUGUAAAGCGGCGAACGGGUGAGGAAUACAUGGGUAACCUACCCUCGAGUGGGGAAUAACUAGCCGAAAGGUUAGCUAAUACCGCGUACGCUCCUCGGACUUCGGUUCAGGGAGGAAAGCGAUACCGUGGGUAUCGCGCUCUUGGAUGGGCUCAUGUCCUAUCAGCUUGUUGGUGGGGAACGGCUCACCAAGGCUUCGACGGGUAGCUGGUCUGAGAGGACGAUCAGCCACACUGGCACUGCGACACGGGCCAGACUCCUACGGGAGGCAGCAGUAAGGAAUAUUGCGCAAUGGGCGAAAGCCUGACGCAGCGACGCCGCGUGGGGGAUGAAGGUCUU